rnacentral:tRNA from 3 species
GCCGGAGUGGCGGAAUUGGCAGACGCGCACGACUCAAAAUCGUGUUCCGUAAGGAAUGUGGGUUCGAUUCCCACCUUCGGCACCA